CCUAAAACAUGCAAGUCGAGCGGACAGAAGGGAGCUUGCUCCCGGAUGUUAGCGGCGGACGGGUGAGUAACACGUGGGUAACCUGCCUGUAAGACUGGGAUAACUCCGGGAAACCGGAGCUAAUACCGGAUAGUUCCUUGAACCGCAUGGUUCAAGGAUGAAAGACGGUUUCGGCUGUCACUUACAGAUGGACCCGCGGCGCAUUAGCUAGUUGGUGAGGUAACGGCUCACCAAGGCGACGAUGCGUAGCCGACCUGAGAGGGUGAUCGGCCACACUGGGACUGAGACACGGCCCAGACUCCUACGGGAGGCAGCAGUAGGGAAUCUUCCGCAAUGGACGAAAGUCUGACGGAGCAACGCCGCGUGAGUGAUGAAGGUUUUCGGAUCGUAAAGCUCUGUUGUUAGGGAAGAACAAGUGCAAGAGUAACUGCUUGCACCUUGACGGUACCUAACCAGAAAGCCACGGCUAACUACGUGCCAGCAGCCGCGGUAAUACGUAGGUGGCAAGCGUUGUCCGGAAUUAUUGGGCGU
rnacentral:rRNA from 1 species